UAUUGAAAUUUUCAUCCAGUUCUAUUGUUAAAAACUGAAUUAGCUAACCGAAAAAUCAGACAAUGACAUGUGGUGUGUUAUAUGUACCUCAUGUUGACAUACAAGAAUCAACUUUUAACAGAAAAGACUAGUUUGUUAUUUGAUCU
rfam:Gossypium raimondii Chr11_contig_1498, whole genome shotgun sequence.